GUGUCAGCCGCCGCGGUAAUACGAAGGGGGCUAGCGUUGCUCGGAAUCACUGGGCGUAAAGGGCGCGUAGGCGGACGUUUAAGUCAGAGGUGAAAGCCCAGGGCUCAACCCUGGAAUGGCCUUUGAUACUGGACGUCUUGAGUCUGGUAGAGGUUGGUGGAACUGCGAGUGUAGAGGUGAAAUUCGUAGAUAUUCGCAAGAACACCGGUGGCGAAGGCGGCCAACUGGACCAGAACUGACGCUGAGGCGCGAAAGCGUGGGGAGCAAACAGGAUUAGAUACCCUGGUAGUCCACGCCGUAAACGAUGGAUGCUAGCCGUUGGCCGGUUUACCGGUCAGUGGCGCAGCUAACGCGUUAAGCAUCCCGCCUGGGGAGUACGGCCGCAAGGUUAAAACUCAAAUGAAUUGACGGGG
rnacentral:rRNA from 1 species